GACGAACGCUGGCGGCGUGCUUAACACAUGCAAGUCGAACGGUGAAGCGCCUUCCUUUUUGGUGGGUGUGGAUGAGUGGCGAACGGGUGAGUAACACGUGAGUAACCUGCCCCCUUCUUCUGGAUAACCGCAUGAAAGUGUGGCUAAUACGGGAUAUUCUGGGUCUGUCGCAUGAUGGGUCUGGGAAAGAUAUUGUUUCGGUGGGGGAUGGGCUCGCGGCCUAUCAGCUUGUUGGUGGGGUGAUGGCCUACCAAGGCGGUGACGGGUAGCCGGCCUGAGAGGGUGGACGGUCACACUGGGGCUGAGACACGGCCCAGACUCCUACGGGAGGCAGCAGUGGGGAAUAUUGCACAGUGGGCGCAAGCCUGAUGCAGCGACGCCGCGUGAGGGAUGGAGGCCUGCGGGUUGUGAACCUCUUUCGCCAGUGAAGCAGGCCUGCCUCGUUUGUGGGUGGGUUGACGGUAGCUGGAUAAGAAGCGCCGGCUAACUACGUG
rnacentral:rRNA from 1 species